ensembl:snRNA U6 U6 spliceosomal RNA
ACACCCCUUUCAGCAGCAUGCACACUAAAAUUGGAACAAUACAGAGAUUAGUGUGUUCCCUGUGCAUAGAUGGCACAUAAAUUUAUAAAGCAUUUCAGACUUUU